rnacentral:rRNA from 1 species
UACGGGGGGGGCAAGCGUUGUUCGGAAUUACUGGGCGUAAAGGGCUCGUAGGCGGCCAACUAAGUCAGACGUGAAAUCCCUCGGCUUAACCGGGGAACUGCGUCUGAUACUGGAUGGCUUGAGUUUGGGAGAGGGAUGCGGAAUUCCAGGUGUAGCGGUGAAAUGCGUAGAUAUCUGGAGGAACACCGGUGGCGAAGGCGGCAUCCUGGACCAACACU